rnacentral:rRNA from 1 species
GCGAGCGGCGGAUGGGUGAGUAACACGUGGGGAACCUGCCCCUAAGUCUGGGAUACCAUUUGGAAACAGGUGCUAAUACCGGAUAAUAAAGCAGAUCGCAUGAUCAGCUUUUGAAAGGCGGCGUAAGCUGUCGCUAAGGGAUGGCCCCGCGGUGCAUUAGCUAGUUGGUAAGGUAACGGCUUACCAAGGCGACGAUGCAUAGCCGAGUUGAGAGACUGAUCGGCCACAUUGGGACUGAGACACGGCCCAAACUCCUACGGGAGGCAGCAGUAGGGAAUCUUCCACAAUGGACGCAAGUCUGAUGGAGCAACGCCGCGUGAGUGAAGAAGGUUUUCGGAUCGUAAAGCUCUGUUGUUGGUGAAGAAGGAUAGAGGUAGUAACUGGCCUUUAUUUGACGGUAAUCAACCAGAAAGUCACGGCUAACUACGUGCCAGCAGCCGCGGUAAUACGUAGGUGGCAAGCGUUGUCCGGAUUUAUUGGGCGUAAAGCGAGCGCAGGCGGAAAAAUAAGUCUAAUGUGAAAGCCCUCGGCUUAACCGAGGAACUGCAUCGGAAACUGUUUUUCUUGAGUGCAGAAGAGGAGAGUGGAACUCCAUGUGUAGCGGUGGAAUGCGUAGAUAUAUGGAAGAACACCAGUGGCGAAGGCGGCUCUCUGGUCUGCAACUGACGCUGAGGCUCGAAAGCAUGGGUAGCGAACAGGAUUAGAUACCCUGGUAGUCCAUGGCGUAAACGAUGAGUGCUAAGUGUUGGGAGGUUUCCGCCUCUCAGUGCUGCAGCUAACGCAUUAAGCACUCCGCCUGGGGAGUACGACCGCAAGGUUGAAACUCAAAGGAAUUGACGGGGG